GUGCUCACUUCAGUAGCACAUAUACUAAAAUUGGAACAAAACAGAGAAUAUUAGCAAUAUGAGCAAGAAUGACACUCAAAUUCAUGAAAUAUCCAUAUUUUUA